UUAAGGUCAUAUCCUUAUCCUUAUCUAAGGUCAUAUCCUUAUCCUUAGAAUGACCUUAACUCCUUAAACUUAAAGUCUAACAUCACACUAUCUAUCAACUUCAUUCGCAGGCACUCUAUCUUCCUUCCAUCGUUUACAAUAAUUGUCUCCACCCUCCUAAGCGUAAAUUUUAAGUUGUCUCCAACGAGCAUGUCCAAACCACCAUAAUCUUUAUUUCAUAAUUUCUCGUUGUUUGACACCACUUCUAGUGGGUUUCUAAUUGUCAAGUUGAUAACACGAUUAAUUGGGUUCUACCACAAACACACCACAACAUCCUCAUUUAUGCGACCUCUCAUGUUCCUUCUUAGUUGGAUACCAUUCAAAUCCAUACAACAUACCUAGGAUUAUGUCCACCCUAAAAAAAUUUCCUUUUUGGUUUCAAUGGGAGCUUCUUGUCAUACAAAACUCUAGUGACUGCCCUCUACUUUAUCCGCCUUGCUUUUAUACACUCGAUAACAUUAUCCUCAACACCCUCAUCCUUAUGAGUCAUAGACCCCGAGUACUUGAAGCUCUUCUUUAGUUGUAUGAUUUGCUGACCGAUGCACACUUAUACCCUUUCACUAUGUUGCUCCCCACUAAAACUGCACCAUACGUAAUUAGUCUUAGUUGUGUUGAUCCUAAUCCAUUUAUUAUCCAUGUUGUUAGUCUAUGUAUCCAACCCAACUUUCUAUUCAACCCUAUAUUCUAUAACCAAAACAAUGUCACAUGCGAAACCAUAAACCAUGGCACCUCACCUUAUAACUGAUGAUAUACCUCGCCGUAAUAAGAGAAAACAUGUAAGGGCUAAGUGUCAAAUGCUAAUGAAGGCUUACUCCAAGAGGGAAGACUUUGUGUCACAAACUACAGUUCAUACACUUAUCAUAGACCUUCGAUAUAUUCGGACCCUUCUAGAUUCUAAAGUCCUUUAUGUAUGAUUUUUCUAUAUAGAUAAACACCAUAUUGGAAGUGGAUGCUUCUCUGCCGCCCAAGCAAACGUAAACAAAAAUGAAGCACUUAUUCGCAUCAAGCACCUACAAACUUGCAGAUUCUCCAAUAAUUUUGACGUCGAUUGAUGAUUUUUAAUUUCUCGUGAAAUUGAAGGGGCGUAAAUGUUUUUGUAGAGAUAAUGAUUUGGUCGCAUCCAUCGAUGAUUGCAUAUGGAGAUGAAGAGACAUAUUAUGAAGAUGAUAAUCAACAUGAGAGUUUUCAUCUCGGAGAAUGCUACUAUGAGAUCAUGUCUGUUAAAUGAGAAGAAUCUGUUUCUUUUCUCUGA